CAUACCAUUUGCAAUAGUAGACAACCCAAGGUAUUGCAAAUGGGUUAUGUUCAGUCUGUUUUAGUAGCCACUUAGUCACAAACACUGGCCAAAGUUAGCAUUAAUAUUUGCUUGUGUGUGAAAAAUGGCAAAAACUAAUUUGAACAACAAGUUUGGCCAGUGUUUGUGACUGAGUGGCUACUAAAAAAGACUGGACAUAGCCCAUUUGCAAUACUGGGUUGUUUACUUUUGCAAAUGGUAUG